rnacentral:rRNA from 1 species
GGGCGUCUCUUUCUCAUUGCGAGUGGAGGCGCACCCAGAGCGUACACGCUGAUACCCGAAAGAUGGUGAACUAUGCCUGGCCAGGACGAAGCCAGGGGAAACCCUGGUGGAGGUCCGCAGCGAUUCUGACGUGCAAAUCGAUCGUCGGAGCUGGGUAUAGGGGCGAAAGACCAAUCGAACCAUCUAGUAGCUGGUUCCCUCCGAAGUUUCCCUCAGGAUAGCUUGCGCUCAUGUGAACGAGUCUCAUCCGGUAGAGCGAAUGAUUAGAGGCCUUGGGGUCGAAACGACCUCAACCUAUUCUCAAACUCCAAAUAGAUGAGAACUCCGGCUUUCUUGAACUUUGUUUUUGAAGCCGGGGGCUUGGAUCAGAGUGCCAAGUGGGCCAAAUUU